rnacentral:rRNA from 1 species
AGGGUUUGAUUAUGGCUCAGGAUGAACGCUGGCGGCGUGCCUAACACAUGCAAGUCGAACGAAGCACUUUCUUUAGAUUCUUCGGAUGAAGAAGACUGUGACUGAGUGGCGGACGGGUGAGUAACGCGUGGGCAACCUGCCCUGUACAGGGGGAUAACAGUUAGAAAUGACUGCUAAUACCGCAUAAGCGCACGAGGACGCAUGUUCUUGUGUGAAAAACUCCGGUGGUACAGGAUGGGCCCGCGUCUGAUUAGGUAGUUGGUGGGGCAGCGGCCUACCAAGCCGACGAUCAGUAGCCGACCUGAGAGGGUGACCGGCCACAUUGGGACUGAGACACGGCCCAA